rnacentral:rRNA from 1 species
AGAGUUUGAUCCUGGCUCAGAAUCAACGCUGGCGGCGCGCUUAACACAUGCAAGUCGAACGAGAAAGCCCGCAAGGGUGAGUAAAGUGGCGUACGGGUGAGUAACACGUGGGUAAUCUACCUUUUGGUGGGGAAUAACGCUGGGAAACCGGCGCUAGUACCGCAUAAGCUCGAGAGAGGAAAGGAGCAAUUCGCCGAAAGAGGAGCCCGCGGCUGAUUAGCUAGUUGGUGAGGUAAAGGCUCACCAAGGCAAUGAUCGGUAGCCGGCCUGAGAGGGCACACGGCCACACUGGCACUGAAACACGGGCCAGACUCCUACGGGAGGCAGCAGUGGGGAAUCUUGCACAAUGGGGGAAACCCUGAUGCAGCGACGCCGCGUGAGUGAUGACGCCCUUCGGGGUGUAAAGCUCUUUCG